CUUGUACUCCCUUCGUCCGGAAAUACUUAUCGAAGAAAUGAAUGAAUAUAGAUGUAUUUUAGUUAUAGAUAUAUCUAAUUUUAUUCAUCUAUCCGAUAAGUAUUUCGGGACGGAGGAAGUAGUAU
rfam:Triticum urartu cultivar G1812 contig354745, whole genome shotgun sequence.